ACAAUGGUUGGUACAACGGGAUGCUACCUCGCGAGGGGACGCCAAUCUCUGAAAACCAAUCUCAGUUCGGAUUGUAGGCUGCAACUCGCCUACAUGAAGUCGGAAUCGCUAGUAAUCGCGGAUCAGCAUGCCGCGGUGAAUACGUUCCCGGGCC
rnacentral:rRNA from 1 species